rnacentral:rRNA from 1 species
UAUCCAUUGGAGGGCAAGUCUGGUGCCAGCAGCUGCGGUAAUACCAGCUCCAAUAGCGUAUAUUAAAGUUGUUGCAGUUAAAAAGCUCGUAGUUGGACUUGUGUGCGCUGUCCGCGGGUGGCCUGCGCCCAAAAGAGCGUUUCGGUUCGGCCCCGGUGGCGCCUUGAAAUCUGCAGCUGGGGGGACGUUGGCCUUAACUGGUCGGCGACCGCACGCCGGCUGCUCGGUUACUGUGAGAAAAUUAGAGUGUUCAAGGCAGGCAUUGGGUGCAAUUGAAUACAUUAGCAUGGAAUAAUAAAAUAUGGCUCCUGCCGUAUUUUGUUGGUUUUGACUGGUGGGAGUAAUGAUAGAUAGGGACGGUUGGGGGUGCUAGUAUUGAGCGGCCAGAGGUGAAAUUCAUGGAUUCGCUCAAGACUAACUUAUGCGAAAGCAUUCACCAAGGACGUCCUCUUUAAUCAAGAACGAAAGUUGGGGGAUCGAAGACGAUCAGAUACCGUCGUAGUCUCAACCAUAAACUAUGUCGACUUGGGAUCGGCGGUAGUUUUUUCAUUAAGACACUGUCGGGACCACGGGAGAAAUCAAAGUGUCUGGACUCUGGGGGAAGUAUGGUCGCAAGGCUGAAACUUGAAGGAAUUGACGGAAGGGCACCACCAGGAGUGGAGCCUGCGGCUUAAUUUGACCCAACACGGGGUAACUUACCAGGUCCAGAGAUGUAGAGGAUUGACAGAUUGAAGCUCUUUCUUGAUCACUUCGGUGGUGGUGCAUGGCCGUUCUUAGUUGGUGGAGUGAUUUGUCUGGUUAAUUCCGUUAACGAUCGAGACCUCAGCCUGCUAGUGUAGUCGGCUGGAUUGCCUUUGGCGAUCCGUGAUUUCGACUUCUUAGAGGGACAAUCGACGCGCAGUCGAUGGAAGUUUGAGGCAAUAACAGGUCUGUGAUGCCCUUAGAUGUUCUGGGCCGCACGCGCGCUACACUGCUGGGCUCAGCGAGUUUUACUUGGCCGAGAGGCCCGGUUAAUCUUGUGAAAUCCCAGCGUGCUUGGGCUCGCCUCCUGCAACUGGAGGCGCCAACGAGGAAUUCCUAGUAGACGCAGGUCAUCAACCUGCAUCGAUUACGUCCCUGCCCUUUGUACACACCGCCCGUCGUUCCAUAAGAGUGAGGCAUCCGGUGAAUUCUCGGGAGAGCCUGGGCGUGGCCAGCAAUGGUCUGCUCGGGUUUGAACUUGCAUAAACUUGGUGCCUAUGAUUAGGGAAAAGUCGUAACAAGGUUUCCGUAGGUGAACCUGCGGAAG